rnacentral:rRNA from 1 species
UACGGAGGGUGCAAGCGUUGCUCGGAAUUAUUGGGCGUAAAGGGCAGGUAGGUGGUCUUAUUUGUCCGGGGUGAAAUCCUUGAGCUUAACUCAAGAAGUGCCCCGGAGACGGUAAGACUGGAGUUCUGGAGAGGGUCGUGGAAUUCCCGGUGUAGCGGUGAAAUGCGUAGAGAUCGAGAGGAACACCUGCGGCGAAGGCGGGUUGCUGGGCUGAUACUGACGCUGAGGCGCGAAAGCCAGGGGAGCGAACGGG